UAUUGGUCAAUGGAGGCAACUCUGAACCAGCCAAGUCGCGUGAAGGAUGAAGGUCUUAUGGAUUGUAAACUUCUUUUUCAAGGGAAUAAAGUGGGGGACGUGUCCUCCUUUGCAUGUACCUUGCGAAUAAGGAUCGGCUAACUCCGUGCCAGCAGCCGCGGUAAUACGGAGGAUCCGAGCGUUAUCCGGAUUUAUUGGGUUUAAAGGGUGCGCAGGCGGGAUGUUAAGUCGGCGGUGAAAUUUUGCAGCUCAACUGUAAAAGUGCCUUCGAUACUGGCUUCCUUGAGUGUGGAUGAAGUAGGCGGAAUUUGUGGUGUAGCGGUGAAAUGCUUAGAUAUCACGAGGAACUCCGAUUGCGCAGGCAGCUUACUAAACCACUACUGACGCUCAUGCACGAAGGCGUGGGGAUCAAACAGG
rnacentral:rRNA from 1 species